AAUACACGAAGUCCCCUUACUCAUUACGAACAAACAUCACUAUAACAAUUAUCAAGGCAACUGAGACCUAAUUUUAUGAAGAACAAAAUAUUACUCUUCGAUCCUGGCCUUUGUCAACCACAAAGUCUCGCUGUUAUUAUUUGGUUUGGAUUAGUAAAAUGGCAGAGCCUGCUAGAGUUCUAGACAACAAGGUUGAUGAGGUGCAGGAAGACAGAGAAAUGGAGCAGAAUGAAGAAUCGGUAGCAUCGCAAGAAUUGCCUAACUCGAUGUUUACAGCUGAGUUGAACCUCCUUAUUGUGUUUCUCUCAUUGUUUUCUGUAUCAACCGAAGAAAGCUUAAACUCUGUAGAGAGAGAACCAGAAAGAAGAAAAGACGGAGCUAAAGCUAUCAAGGUAUUAAAAAAGAAAAGACGGGAGAUAGACGAGGUCAAGCCGGUCCGGCGACGAACUCAAAGGUUUCAAACAAGAGUAAGGGAUUCUAGGCAUGGCCGACGAGUAUAAAGAAUGAUGUCGAUGAAGGAGGAAACUGUUCAGCAAGGAAAGAGAUGCCAAACGAUGUCAUACAAAAGUUUCCAAUUUCUCAUAACUAUAUUUUAUCCAAUUUUCCUCUACACUUAUCCCCCACAAUUAGUCGAAAAGAAAGCAAACAAAGGAAAGGAGCAUGUUUGGAAUUCUUUCAAAUAAUAUUAUAAUCAUAUUUGUUCUAUUUUCAUGCA